AUGGAGAUGAAACCCCACCAAACCAAGGGCGGUCACCGCGUCACCCAAUUCCUCACCUACAACUGCCUGGCGGUGAGCAGGGUGGGGGGGGGGGGGGGGGGGGGAGGGAUCCCUUCACCCCAUCCUCACCGCGUUGUCCCUCCUCACGUCCCCGUGUCCCCUCCAGACGGACGCAGACCUUUACAGCGAGUGUCUCCGGAGCUUCUGGACGUGUCCCCACUGCGGGCUCCACGCACCCUUCACCCCCAUGGAGCGAGUCUGCCACGAGAACGCCUGCCGGCCGCCCGACGCCCCCCCAGAAGAGGAACCCCAGAGCUGCCCCCAGAGCUCAGCCCUGCAGCGCCCGUACCGCUGCGAUGUGUGCCAGCAGGAUUUCUCCUUCACCCCCACCCAGAUCCUCCGGCACCGACGGCAGCACCGCUGAUGGGAGAAACCCCAAAUGGAUUUGGGACAUCCCCUCUGAUAGACGAAGGCUGGAUCGCGUUCGUUAUCGCCGCCUUCGUUAUCAGCCCCCGCCACGGGUCAUUAGCGUGGCAUGGGGGGGGCUGUGCUGCUAAUUAAACUCAUUUAAUGCUGCUAAUUUGUAGCUGUGCAGCCGGAAGAAUCCUCAUCACUGAACGACGUCGUGACGAUUUUGGGUAACGAUGCGCUGCGAGAACAGAACGCAUUGGGGUUUUAAUUAGGGUUGUUUUGGCUUAAUUAUGCAAAGUUAAGCUUCGCUGGCUGCAGAAUGGGGGGAAAAAUGGGGAGUUUGGGGUUUUUUUUUCCUUUAAAAAUGGAUUUUUUUUCCCCCCUUUUUGGCUUCUCUUCUGUUCUCCUUGUUGGGAUGAAUAUAUCUGCGAUUAAUUAGCAGAUAAAUUAGCAGAAGUGGGUCACUGCCACCCGGCCCCCAGAAAUUAAUUAAGCCGGAGGUUUUAAGCAGCUUAAUAGUUAAUUUUUGGGGAGGGAAAUGCAAAUUUUUGGCUCCUCCUCCAUCACUGCUCCCUUUCCACCAGCGUUUGUGGCUUUUUUUGACGUCGCCAACCCAAACUUUGCUGGAUUUCUGUGAUUUGUCCUCAUUUUUUUCCAGUCAUAGAGGAUG
rnacentral:lncRNA from 1 species